GCAGGUAUGGCGGAAUAGGCAGACGCGCUGGACUUAGAAUCCAGUGGGUAACCGUAGGAGUUCGAGUCUCCUUACCUGCA
rnacentral:tRNA from 1 species